rnacentral:lncRNA from 1 species
GCAGAAGUAACAUUCCUUUGAACACUCAGCUUUCUGAAAUGGUGUCCCACCGCAAGGACUGGAGAAGGGUAAACCUCAGGUUCUCCUCCUGCCUUUUGCUAAGUAUAUGUCUUGAUGACAAGCCUUCUGCUGAUGAGCUGUGUUUCUGGACCGAUCAUGGUAGAAGUCAAUUAACGUGUCCCUCACUUGGGGUUUCUCAAGGCUGCACUGAUGAGGAAACUGAAACAGAAAAUCCAGAGUAAAUUCCACCAGGCCACACAGCAAGGUCUGAUAGAGCCAGGAGAGACUUUAUGAAAUCCAGACUCUCACACUAAUGCUCUAUCAGCUAGACCUCCAUGUGAGUCUCCCCAAUGUAGGUAGGAAGUGCUUUCCCUAAAAUGCUCAUAAAGCAAAUCAGAGCAAUGCUGCAUUCCAUGUGAUUUCUAAUUUGAAAUGCAAACAAUUGCCAAUUUGUUUGACUUGUAUUUAUAAUUAUUUCCUUGUGAAUUACUCAUCACUAAAUGCUUUAUAAAUAUUUUCUCUUUUUUUCCUCAAUGUCUAUGGAAUGAUCACAGCAUAGAAAAUGUUGGCUUUCAAGGAUUUAUUAAUAUCUCCUUUUGAAAUAACAUGUAUUUGUAAGACAGAAUAAAAUCACUUUAAAGAAACAAAUCUUGAAUUUGAUUUCCCGUUCAGACAAUGACUUAUUUGAUGUCCUUAAUAAGAUGAACUACAUAGUGACUUUUAUUUAAAGGAUCCAUUAUAUAAGAAGUAGAAAAGUAAAUAUGCACACUUAGAUGAGCACGGCCUUGCCAACAGCUCCUUCUGAUAGAUUUUUAGACUUUACUAAGUUUGUGUAAGCCGAAGGCAUCACACUGUAUGCAUUACUGAAUCUAAUUUCACUUUUGCCAAUAACAAAAAAAAACAAGCUAGUGGCAUAAUAUGGCAGUAUGCAUCAUAUGCUUACCAUAAUCUCAAAAUUUAACUCUUUGUAAAGAACUGAGCCAAUUAUUUCUGUCUUUUUGAGCAUGAAACCUAAUUUAAAGCAUUUUUCUAGAUGAUAAAAUAAAUACUCCUUUACUCAGAAACUUAACAAAUCCAGAAUAGAAUACAGAACUCAGUAGCUAGAUUCAGAAUAUUGUUCAUACUAUUUGCUUGGAAUCACAUCAAUAUCACGUGAUUUUCAAGGAAGAAAAAUAAACAGUAGUUCCCCGCUUUUUUGGUCCUGGUUGCUCCCAACUGGCAAUAGCGUAUGUGUGUUUUAGUCUGUGCUUUGCAAAACUUGAUGUGAAUUCAAACCAGCACAAAUAUUAAAAAGUGCAAUUUCCACUUUUGAAAACAAAAUUUAGAAAUUGUUAAAUAUUAGCAAUUUGUUUAAGCAAGGGAGGAAAAGGAACCAUUAGAAGAAAUUCAGAGGCAUUAAAAGGGUCACAAGGAUUGACUUAUGAGAUCAAACAAACAAAAAAAAACACACAAUGCUAGAUCUGUUGCUGGACAAAACCAUGGUAAGCCAAAGCUCUAAUAGUGAUAUAUACAGUCUGGGGAAAGCAACUUCACAUUUUGGUGUAAUUGAGGGAGGAAAAUGACCCAGUUCUACUUGCUAAUAAUAAGUAUCAUUAGGUAAAGGAUAUAGUAAUUGAAAGGCAACUCCUCAGAUUUAAAUAUUAUUUAAAGUAUCUUUAAGCAAGUAGAUAAGUAUAGCAACAAUCAAAAAUGCUUAUUCAACUCAAUUCCUACUUUCCCUUCCCAAAUCUUAAAAUUGAUAAAAAACAAACACACAAACAAAAACAAAACAAAACAAAACAAAAACAAAAACCAGAGAAAGAGAGAGCUAGUUGGAUACCAAUGUCUGAACUCCAUACCCCAACAGGGACCUCGUUUUGUAUGACUGCCACAGAAACGAGCACAGAGAGGGGCAAGAUAAUGUAAGGAACAGGGUAGGGGAGGAAAAAAUGGCCGUUUUAAAAGGAAUGACAAGGUUGGGUGAAACAUAAAAAGCCACUCCAUAGCCAAGAGAGAUUAAAAAGAGCUCAAGAGGGUCAUGUUGCUUCCCAUUUCCCCUUACCUGAUUCUUGCUGCCACUCCAUUGGUUAAGUUUUACAGGUUGCAGUAACUGGCAAGGAAGAGGUGUGCCUCUCAGCUGUUCACAAUGCAGAAUCUUGAAAAGGUCAACAUAGUAGCAGUAUGACAGGCCAUGUAAGUCAUUAUGUGCUUUAUAAUUCAUUUGUAAGUAGAAUGAGAACUGGAGCAAAUUAAAUGUAAACUCUGCCAUAGGACCUCUAAAAACAUGUUAGUCAUAUGGAAAGCUAGGUUUUGUUUUCUAUCUAGAAAGACAAACAAAUAUUUCUUCACAAAUGUGUUACUUUCCUGAGGAGAGCAGAAAUGGGAGAUAAAUCCAUUUGCUGCAAAGUGGUUUAAAGAAAAUAUAUUGGCAGCAGGAGGAAGGUGGUUUAGGGAGAUGAUAUGUAAUAGAAUACAUAUACAAGUACUAUGAGCGUUGAGAUUCAGGUUAGUGCUAAUUAGACAUUUCCUGAUCAGUGAAAAUCGUAAGACUUUCAAAGUCCUGUAUUUUAAGAAAUAGUAAAAUCUAUCAGGUAAGAUAAUAUAUUUAUGACUUACCGCAGUAUUUUUGUGAUGGUUCUGUUCUUUGUGAAGCCUUAUUUUGCAUUGAAAUUGGCACAAUUUUACACCGUUAACCAAAUUUUCUUUUAAUGGAAACUCACACACACAUAGCACAUUCUUUAGUACUAAGAUGCUAAAGUUGCUGAACAUGCUACAGGUGAUUAUGAGGCAGUAGUGAAAGAGUUAAUUAUCCAUCAUUCCUCCCCCCUACCCUAGACAUCCCACUGUGCCUCUGUUAUAGACUUAGGCACAGUUCCUAAUGGCAAAAUCUAUUAGAAUGCACAAUAUUCUCCCAAGGGAGCUGGUGGAAGUUCUGUCACUUGAGACAUUUAAAACUACACUGGGUAAAGCACUAGAGAGCUGUGAGUGCAUGUGUUCCAACCCUCAGGACAGAAAUCAUGACCUAAUGGGUGAUUUCUAUCCCUUAAUGUCUCUGAUUCGCUGGGUGUUUUAAUAGCUCCCUCAUAUUUAAGUAGAUGACCAACGGUCUAUUUUUUUUUAAUGGAACUUGAGUUUGGUCUGUAAAGUGUCAAGACAGAGGUGACAAAACAAACCACAGGGGAAUGGAGGAAGCCUCGUGGAAAUUUAGUUGGUUUGAAGGAGGGUUGAGCAAACACAACAGUGUAUUCGGGUUUAGCAAAUGCCUUGACUUCUUUUUUUUUUUUUUUCAAAUGUUUUCAGUUCAAGGAAACCCAAAACACAUUUGGCUAAACAGUUUUUCCUUAAUUUUCAAACCCAUGUGUAUUUCAAGGGAAAUUUAAUCCAUGUGUUUCUGAUUCAUUUACACUUAGCUCAUCAAAAUGUGGUUUCAUAAGACCCAUUUGAUGUCUAAGAAGCCUUGUGAGCUUUUUUUUUUACAAGCUUUUUUUCUUUGAACCAGGAAGUUACAUUUUGCCAAGAGUCAAUGGAACUUCAACCAGAAAAGAAUCAGUUUUGUUUGGGAUCUUGGAAUCCUCAAAGUUGGUGGGAGCUAAUGAGCCGGGAGGGGAGGGGAGGAGAAGCUGAUUCAGAGAGCAGGAACCUUCCCAUUUCUAAUAUGUUAUCUGUUCAGAUAACUUGAAAAUCUAAUUUUCUCUCAGUUUAUAGUAGAAAAUUCAUCUUCAAUUUUUGAAAAUCUUGUGGAAAACAUGAGCAUGAAUUUUAUUACAGGGUCCAAUGCUGUCACAUGAUCUGAUAAUCAUCCACUAGUGAGUCUGUGGGUGAUGAGUAUCAGAGCAGUAAUGACAUACUUAUCUUAGAGGCAAUUAUUAAGAAGUGACUCACAAAAGUGUUUAGAUUGGCCAUUUUUUUAAUAUUUAAAAAAGCUUCCUCUGCCUGGUUGUUGUCGCUCUGUGCACAACACUACUGGUUAUUUAAGAAACAAGACAAAUAAGACUCAGUGAAUGUGCUGAUUCAGGUGCACACAAUCCCCUAUCUCAUUGCUGGUGUUGCUAAAGAGCAUCUGGGGUAAGGAAACAUGCAUCCGGUCCAUCCGUCAAGAGUCCAUGAGAAAGCCAACAAUGUUUGCACCUGCAGGAUGAAUUACAUCUUUGGUGAGUGUGGGAAGCUACAUAAUGAGACAGCUGAGUGGCUGACAUUUCUUUUUUCUUGCUCCUUCUGCACCUUCUUUUUGCACUACCUUCAUUUUUCCCACUUCCUCUCCCUUUUCCCCACCUUUAUACAAUCACCACCAAUAAUGGAGCAAAUGUGGCACAUCCAUCCAAGGAUGGGUUGACAUGGUUUACACAUUGCUUUCAUUUGGUUGUUCUUUGGAUGAAUUCUUCCUUGAGAACAAGAUAAUGAAAACCAUACGGUCAUUGAGCACACAAUCUGCCUUCACUUUGGCUGUUCCCUCGCAGCCCGUUUCAUUUUAUAAAGCCUGGUCCCUGAGUUUACGCCAGUAGAAGAUCCCAAGCAGGUGGAAUCCUGCCCCCUAUGGGCUUGCAGAAUUCAGCAAACACUGUCAGUUUAGCUCUUGCCUGUCACCCAUACAUCAGAGAACUUAUUUGAAUGGAACAUCUCUUGCUAGUCUGGUAAAGGUUUAGAAACUUGGCCUUCUAAGUAUUCAUGUAAGUUCUGUUCUGGGACCUUCAUUGUAGGAACUGAAAAUGAAAGAACCAAAAUAGAUAUCAACAGAUAAUUAAAGGAACGUUUGGAAGUUUUUUACCUCAUGCAAACCUCAAACUCUGAACCACUACUGCCUAAAGGAAAUAAAUACUGUGUUAUGGUGAGUGAAGGUAAAGGUGUACUUUAUUUCUUGGAUGAGUUUUGACAGUGUAAAACAAAAUGAUAAGUUUUUAACUAUGGCAGAAAGUUCAGACAACAGGUGUGAGGGAAAAGAAUUAUUCAUUGAUUCAAAGUCCCAUACAAGUGAGUGAAAUGGCUAAAAGCAAUAAAAUUACAGAUGACGUCUUUGGAAUUUAAACAAAAGAAGUUUAUUUUCACUUUCUAAUUUGUAGCUUGCUUUUAUAGACACCAAAGAAACAUCACAGAAAUAUUAAAUUAUUCUCUGAAAAUACAAAGAUAAAAACUAUUGAGGUUUAAGAUAGAAGAUAUUUUCUCUUAAAAUUGGCUAUGAUACUUCUACACUGAUAGAACUUAUGAAAAUAGCCAAUCUAUUAUGACUAAUUUAAUUUUCUUUCCCAAAGAUACAUAAUUCAGAAUAAAAACCGUAAUCAAUGCCCAAAACACAAAUCUCAUACAUCUUGCUAAUGCUGGAGAAAUAGUGUCAAGUUCUUUUUCAGUACAAAUAUAUGCAGUACUUUUACUAUGUUUUGUUUUUAAUUCUCAGAAAUCCUUAUUAUUAAUCAAGCAAAACAAGCUUUUUAUAAUAUAGAAUUAUCCUUCCGCUGUAAGAGUAGAAGCAAAGUAAUUCAAAGUAAAAUAUGAAAAGUGCUAUAAUUUAGUAAGAGAUGGAAAGAAAUUUAGAAUAAUUUUGUUCAAACUCAUAAUUUUAUGAUUGAAGAAACAAAAAUCCAGAGUGUUUAGGAGUUUGUUCAAAGUUCAAAACCUGGAAUCUCUAAGGUUGGAUAUCAGAAGUCAGCUCUAAAUACAAGUUCAGUGCUAUUUUAACAAUCAAUAAAAUUUCUAAGAGCAAUAUAUUCCUGAGAUGGAACACAUCAGAAAAGACUAUAGGGAUUCUUUGAAUUUGGAAAGUUCUUACUAGGUAGAAAUUCCAAUAAAUACAACAGAUUAAAAUGGAACUCAUUCACUGAGGUGGAGUUGGAAACCCUAGGGUCUCAUUUGUUAGCUCCUCUCACCCACUCCUUCUGAGGGCCCUCUGAAUACCUUGUAAAAACUCCAAGAGUUUCUUAGGACACUGUCUUAAAACCACCAAUAAUAUUCCCAGUUGUGGUGAGUAGACUCAAAAGUGACCCCAAUGACCCUACAAAGUACCACAGACUGGGUGGCUGAAACAACAGACAUUUAUUUUCUCAUGAGUCUGGAGGUUAGAAGUUUGAGAUCAAGGUGUCAGCAGAGUUGGCUUCUGAGGCCUCUCUCCUUGGCUUGUUGAUGGCCAUCUUCUCUCUGUGUCUUCACAUGGUCUUCCUUCUGCACUUGUCUGUCUCUUAAUUUCUUCUUGUAAGAACACCCAUCAUUGCAUUAGGGCCUGCCCUAGUGACCCCAUUUUAACUUAAUUAUCUGUUUAAAGACUUUAUGUCUGAGUUUAAUUAAGCUAAUACAACAAAAUACCUUAGACUGGGUAAUUUAUAAACAUCAGAAACUUAUUGCUCAUAAUUCUAGACACUGGGAAGUCCAAAAUGAAGGCACCAGCAGAGUCAGUGUCUGGUGAUGGCUCACUCUGCUUCAAAGAUGAUGCCUUCUCAAGUGUCCUCACAAGGUGAAAGGGUGAGGCAUCUCUCUGGGGUCUCUUUUAUCAGGACAGCAAUCUCAUUCACAACAGCAGAGCCCUCAUGACCUAAUCAUCUCCCAAAGGUCCCACCCCCUAAUAUCAUCACCUUGGUGAGUAGGUUUCAAUAUAUGAAUGUUGUGGGUAUGCAAACAUUCAGAUGAUAGUACCUUAUCUCUAAAUACAGUUACAUUCUGGGGUACAGUGGGCUUUGACAUAUAAAUUUGUGGGUUGUGGGGAAGCGGGCAUUUUUCAGCUCCUAACACUCACCUUUCUAUAUUAUCCCUUUGUAUCAUACCCUCCCCUUGGGUGGGAAAUUUGACUUGAUUCUAAUCUAUAGAAUAUGACAAAAGUGAUAGGAGUCACUUUAUCACUUCAUGAUUAUGUCACAUGAUAAAAUAACCUGUCUUGUUCUAGAGAUUUUCUGUCUCUCUUAUAGACUUUGAAAAAGUGAAGUGGCCAUGUUAGGAGGCCCAGAUGGUAAGGAGCUGAGGGAGGCCUCCAGGAAAUGGCCAGCAAGAAGCCGGCUCCCUCAGCCUUGUAGCUACAAGAAAAUGAAUUCUGCCAGCAAUCUGAGUGAACUUGGAAGCUGAUUCUUCCUCUGUCAAGCCUCCAGAUGAGAAUCUCAGUCACAGCCAACACCUUGACUGCAGUCCUUAGCAGAGGACUCUGCCAAGCUGUGCCAGGACUCCUGACCUGCAGAAAUUGUGAGUACCAACUCACUGAGCUUUUAUGAGGAUGAACCGAAUUAAUAUCUGCAAAGUGCUUAGAAUACAACCUGGCACACAGCAAAUACAUGCCUUUGUUUGGGUCACAGAAUAUCUUGAAUGCAGAGCUCACACAGGUUGUGAUAGGCUUUACUUCUAUCACUAACUGGAAACAAAGAAAAUCUACACUGAAGGAAACCUUUUCAAGUCGAACUUCUGUCAAGCAAUUGGAGGAGCAUGUGGUUUUGUGGUGCAUUCAAUAAAUAUGGACCAGUUCUGUGCUAGGAGUUUAGGAUACAUGUUGGUUUAUAGUCUAGCUGGGACAAAAAAAAAAAAAAAACCACAGAGUAAGUUUUCUGAUAAGCAAGUUAAAUCACACAUGACAAGCAGGCAGAGGAGAAAACCUGUGUGAGAAAGUCUGGCAAAUCGGAACAAUUGAAAGAAAUUCAAUAUGGCGGUGGAAGAGUGGCAAGUGAUGACAUGAUGAUCCGAGAGAGAGAGAGAGAGAGGUCAGAUGACACAAGUCCAUAAUAAGCUCUAAAUAUUUUCCUUGUCAUUAAGAAAUUAUUGUAAGACUUCAAGCAGUAGCAUGAAAUUAUAACAUUUAUGUUUAUUUUCAAAGGAUUAUACUGGUUUCAGUAAGAGAAUAAACAGGAGAAAUUAGGAGACAGAUAUGGUAGUUUUGAUUAGGUUAGUGACAGGGGGUAGAGAGAGAGUUAAAUAGUGUGAACUGGAAAAUUGGACAGAAUUGGCAACUGUUCAGGAAGUUAAAUAUCUUAAAUACAAUAGCUCUCCAUUCUCAUUAUCUGACUAAACAUACCUCACCAGCUUCAGCUAAAAGCCAUGUGCCCCCUCACUCUUUAUGCUUCAACCACAAUGACCUACAGUUCCUCAACCUCAAAAACCCUUUGCUAUGUCUUUUUUAAUACAUACUCCUUUUGGCUAAGAAUGCCCUCUCCACUGGUCCCUACAAUUUCAGGUCUUCCUUCAGGACCUAUCCUGAGCCCCUAAUCUAGGGGCUGUUAUAUCUAGGGGCUCUUCCUGUUAUGUAUUCCCAUUGCCUACUGCUUUCUUUUUUGGGGUGGUGGUGGGGUGGUGGGGAGGGUAGUAGUCCCUUCAAUCACACUAGAAUACUUUGGUAUGAGGUGGAAUAAUCUCUCUUUUAUUAUAGUAGGGACUUUGACUAACUUUCUCUUUGCUGUAUUCCCAUUGCCAGGACACUGCCUACACAUACUAGGCACUCAAUAUAUAUUUGCUAAAAAAAUUAGCAGACUCAGAUGAUGAAUCUUACUAAGUCUGCCUUAAAAAUAUGCACAUCCUUGUAGAGUCAGUAUGACUAAAAUAUUUAGUCUCCUUAGGUUUCUGCUGGAAACCCAACGAUGACUAUCUACUGCUUAUAGGUGACACUUAUGACCACCAAAUUGGUAGCAUAGACAAUUCGGUCUAAUUCCAGUGGUAUACACAGUACCAUAAUUUGGGUAGCUUUUAAGAGUACUGAUGCCCACCUCCUAUACUAGAACAAUUGAAUCAGAAUCUCUGAGGUUUGAGGUAGGCACUGGUAUUUUUAGAUUAUCCAAAUGACUAAAAUAUGCAUGAGAGAUUAUUACAGUGUGAUGUUUACUCAGCUCUACCAGCUAAAAUACCGUAGAUGUACAGAUCUGAUGUUCAAAUACGUUUCUAUAGUCUAUUAAACUCACUAAACCAGGGACUGCAUCAUUAUGAACUUUGCAAUUCAUUUGUUCAAUUUCCCAGAAGCAUUUAUUGCGUACCUGUUAUGUGCCAUUUUUACAUUAAGUGACAGAGAUGCAGACAUUUUUAGGACUGAGGGUCUUUAGAAAUAGUAUUUAUUUCCUACCUGAAAAAAAGCUAUGGCUCCCAGAUCCAUAAAAUAUCUGACUUGUAUGUACAAAAUCACUUGUUAUCAAUAUUUUCAUUGACUUGACUUUGAAAACCCUUGUUUUUAUGUUUUAUCUUCUAAAUCAGUUAUGCUCAUGUUUAUUUUUUCUGCUUACAUAUGUUCUGCCACAUUUCCACUGAGCAGUAGAAGAUACUACUUUUUAAAUGUUAUUACAGCUUUUUAAGGGUUAUAUUAGACAUAGUCAUGGAAUAAAAGAAUGUCUGCUAAGAUUCAUCAGCCUGCUCCUAUGAAUUUUCUCCUUAUUCAUAUUACAGUGGAUGAUACAUAUUAAUUACUAGACACAGGUGUUUUACAGGAGGAAAAAAUGUUUUAUGCUUCUUCACAG